CCUACGGGGGACAGCAGUGAGGAAUAUUGGUCAAUGGGCGUAAGCCUGAACCAGCCAAGUCGCGUGAGGGAUGAAGGUUCUAUGGAUCGUAAACCUCUUUUAUGAGGGAAUAAAGUGUGGGACGUGUCCUGUUUUGUAUGUACCUUAUGAAUAAGGAUCGUCUCACUCCGUGCCCGCAGCCGCGGUAAUACGGAGGAUCCGAGCGUUAUCCGGAUUUAUUGGGUUUAAAGGGUGCGUAGGCGGCCUUUUAAGUCAGCGGUGAAAGUCUGUGGGUCAACCAUAGAAUUGCCGUUGAAACUGGGAGGCUUGAGUAUGUGUGAGGGAGGGGGAAUGCGUGGUGUAGCGGUAAAAUGCUGAGAUAUAACGAAGAACCCCGAUUGCGAAGGCAGCCGGCCAAGCCAUGACUGACGCUGAUGCACGAAAGCGUGGGGAUCAAACAGGAUUAGAUACCCCAGUAGUC
rnacentral:rRNA from 1 species